CUCAUUCCUCAUUGGUUCUUCGCAUUAAAGGCUUACCGCGUGCUUCCCUUUUCCUCAGUGUCUCGCGCUACUAAAUUGAAGCUCAUCUGAAUUCUAUUCAUAUUUAAAGCGUGGAAAUUAGCAAGUGUUUCAAGCGCACGUUCAAUCGUUGAGAUUUACUCUUUAUGCCUGCUACGCGAUUCCAUUGCUACAAAGUAACUAUAAGGUGGUAAUAGACGUUGGGCAAAUACUCUGUCAAAUGUAGCUACGUUGUUUUUAGGCCUGAGGCAGCAUUCACAUUUUUCGGAAUGGAGUUUUAGCGUGGAGUGACCUAUCAGGAGGGAUGACGAAGCCCCUGUGAAGCAGUGUGGGAAGGGAAGACUGCGUGGACCUGUGUGAUGUGGGCCAGUCACAGGGCAGUCAGACUUCUGAGAUCACAUUACAAGGCUCUGCUGGGACCAGUCAAGAUCACAAACACCAUUUAUUUUAUGGCCCAGACCCCCGCAGAGGGACUGGGAGUUCCAGUCUUACCAAGCAGGAUAAUUGGACACCUUGAGUUCCUUAAUCUCUCCUGGAAUGAAAUGCAUGCUGGGUAAUUGCGUCAGGUGGACCCAAAUGUAAAUACCAACAUGAAAGAAAGCUAAGUUCAAAGUCAACAGCAGCCAUGAUAUCAACAGAAUCCAAGGACUGUAACUGUUCAAGUCCUGACAUGUCAGGGAGCAACACUGCUCAACCAGUUGGUUAAGCGAAGCCUUCUGCUGCCCCGUGCUGCUGCCGUUGGGUUUGUUUUCACCGCUGGUUGUGUGGUCACAACAUCACCUGAUCUCACCUUGGAACCCUGUUUCCGCCCUGUCUGUCUCUACCUAUCUUUCUCCACCCCGUUUUGUCUGUCUUCUGUACACCUAUCAUCACCCUGUCUGUCUCCACCCUGUCUGUCUUUGCCCGGUCUGUGGUUGCCCUCUUUGUCUCCACCCUGUCUUUCUCGGUCGCUACCUGUCUGUCUGACCGACCGCCGUGGAGUCUGGAUCUGUCCAACUGAACCUGUUGCUCGGAGAUUGCCGCCUACAUGUCAGGCAGUCUUUUUUUCCCCCUCUUCUCUCGGUCGCUCCAUGGUCUCCCCAUGGAAAUGUUAGUUCUGCUUCUCACUCUCUUUCUCCCAUCGGCGUCCUUUGACAUUCCUCAUCACGUUCUGGGAUUUGAUUGAAGUGGAUUAGUUUCUAACCCUGAUUGGGCAAUGAGUAGUAACCAGGGGAGGCGUGUCGCCCUCCUCGGUGAAGCCACAGAGAGCGGCUACAAGUAGUGUUCGGCUGACUGAUUGGCUAACGCCGCUGAGUGGCGCUCCGCUGCAGGGGGGAGGCGGGUCUGAAAGGACUCCAGAGGGACCUGAGUCUCCUGGCUCUCUCUGUGAUGCUGGGGCCCUUUGAUGGCCAGGACACCUGCACCACGCACAAAGACCAGCCGUCCUCCGCUUUGUGGUCGCAGGGGGAGAGAGGGAGAGCGGGAGAGGGAAAGUUCACUGGCCCUGACCUCAGUCAUGCAGAAACAAAGUAACACAAACGGGACACGGUCAGGAACAGCUGUGGAGUGCAGCACUGGAGGACACGGCAGACUGGGUGGUCUGGGGGAGGGAAAUGGGAGCGAAGGGACGGAAUUAGGCUACAGAGAAGCCUACCUGAUCGUUGUCGUAGAACUUUCCUAAUUUAUAAAGAAAGUAAUUGCGCAUUUUACAACCAUGUUGCUCAAAUUAAUGCAUUUGAUGGCAUGUGUUCAAUAUUGGAGACUCUUUAGUGAUAAUAUUUUUUUUGCACAUGAGGCCCGGUAAUCACCAAAAGGUAAGCUAUUUACUUCUGAUGGCAAUGGAAGCCCACUCAAAAAAGUGCCAAGAAAUGGGCUUUGGUCUCUCACAAAUUGAGCUGUUUUUCUUCUUUUAUUAAAUGCUUUAUGAUAUUCUACUGUGUUGUAGGACAGUGACUACU